rnacentral:lncRNA from 1 species
UGAGGCCAGAGGGAAUGAGUACAGUCUUAACCUUGCAGGCUGCAGUAGGAAUCCUGGGCAAUUCUUCAGUUCUGCUUAAUUAUUGAACCAAGGAUUGACUAAAAAGAGAUUGAUGCUUAAAAUCCUGACUGUAAAGCCCUUGACUUUUGCCAACUGCUCUUGUAUUUUUUCUAGAGGAAUUCCUAAGGUAAUGACAGAGUUUGGAAUGAAAUAUUUCCUAGAUGUCAUUGAGUGUAAACUUAUACUUUAUCUUUCUCGAGUACUCCAGGGGAUUUCACUGUAUUCCAUGUCUUCUGAUUUAUUUCCAAGCAACCACAAUCAACCCUAGUGAGGUGAGUUGGAUGAAGCAUAAACACAGAGCCAUCAAGUACAUGGGUCCUUCUAUCUUACUGUUGAAAG